GCGCAGCAGGCGAGAAAACUCCGCUAUGCGCGAAAGCGCGGCGGGGUCACCCCGAGUGCCACCCGCUGAGGGUGGCUUUUCCCCAGUCUAAACAGCUGGGGGAAUAAGGGGAGGGCAAGCCUGGUGUCAGCCGCCGCGGUAAUACCAGCUCCCCGAGUGGUCGGGACGAUUAUUGGGCCUAAAGCGUCCGUAGCCGGCCCGAGUAAGUUCCCUGUUAAAUCCAGCGAUCCAAUCGCUGGGCUGCAGGGGAUACUGCUGGGGCUAGGGGGGCGGGAGAGGCUGGGCGGUAUUCCCGGGGGAGGGGUGAAAUCCCGAGAUCCCGGGAGGACCACCGGUGGCGAAGGCGGCCAGCUAGAACGCGCCCGACGGUGAGGGACGAAGGCCGGGGGAGCGAACCGGAUUA
rnacentral:rRNA from 1 species